UAAAUAACACUUAUUUCAUAUAUACUGCCCUUCAAGUACUUUUCAAGUACCUUCUCAAAAAUAUGUAUGUUUUCAGGGGUUUUCCAGGAUGUAAAUUUAAAAAAGUCAAGUACUUUAAGCACCUUGUAUGAACCCUGGACUUAUGAAUGGACCAAAAACACUCUUUUUUUCAUUUAAAGAAACCAGUUUAUAUAUUAUGUCUGUUUAUUUCUACAAAAUCAUGUUCUGUUUUAUUUGAGGUUUUUUUGUAUAUUUUUCUCUCCCUCUGUUUAAUUUCUUUUCCACCUCAGUUUAUCCGCUGCUAUUAUGACAUAUGGCAACUGCUUGUUGUUAAGAACAAACUGCUCUCUGAAGUGUUGUACAACACAGAGUUGAAAUGUGGUGUGUGAUUGUGUGUAAUAGCAUGAACACUGCUGUUUUAGAUGGGCUGUUAUAUAAAUUAGACUUGUUUGUGGCCUGCAGACACUGAAGAACAUGAGGACAGAGCUGUUUACUCUUCCAGUAAACAACAUAAACAGAUCAUGGAGCACAAUGGGGUUGUAAAGUGAAGAAAUAUGCAAGUCAGCUAAGAGCAUCUUCAGACCUCUCAUCUCCAGGUAAUCUAUAUGUUUCCUUUACUCCCGGUGCAGUUGAUCAAUCUCAAACUGACCUUGACUGCAGAACAGACCUCAAUCAAGCAGCCAUGUCUCCGGAUGCAUUAGUCACUGCUGAGCUGCUAAAUGCGAUGGAGCAGGAAGCAUCAAUCUUUCCCAGUGAAGAACUGUGCUUCCAAACAAAAAUGUCCCGCUGAAGAUGAGGAGGAGAACGCCAGGUGUUUGUGAAGGCCUCCUGAUGGGUCAUGACCUUUUUAACUGGAUUUCUACAGUUUAUGGGACAUCCUGCAGAGUAAGAGUGCAGUUUAUAGCCUCGUUCACCCACACGAUUAGUGAUCACAUUCUCACGUGUGAAGUUACAGGUCCAUUAGAUCAUAGGAGACUCUGUAGCCUCUAUAGUUUUGAUUGAAUGGACAGUUAUAUUAUAUCUAUACCUGUAUAUGCAACUUUUCAAA